ACGCUCGACACCUACGGGGGCAGCAGUCGGGAAUAUUGCGCAAUGGAGGAAACUCUGACGCAGUGACGCCGCGUAUAGGAAGAAGGUUUUCGGAUUGUAAACUAUUGUCGUUAGGGAAGAAAAAAGACAGUACCUAAGGAGGAAGCUCCGGCUAACUACGUGCAGCAGCCGCGGUAAUCUGAGCGGGCUGGCAAGGC
rnacentral:rRNA from 1 species